rnacentral:rRNA from 1 species
AACGAACGCUGGCGGCAGUCCUAACACAUUCCAUUCGAGCGAUCAUUUCGGUGCUAUUGGCUGACGGGUUAGUAACGCGUGGGAAUGUUCCCUUUUCUUCUGAAUAGUUCUGCGAAACUGGGGGUAAUACCGCCUACGCUCUUUUGGGGAAAGAUUUAUCGGAGAAGGUUCGGCCCGCGUUGGAUUAGGUCGUUGGUGGGGUAAUGGCCCACCAACCCGAUGAUCCAUAGCUGGAUUGGCAGGAUGAUCAGCCACACUGGGACUGAGACACCGCCCAGAAUACGACGGGAGGCAGCAGUGGGGAAUAUUAGACAAUGGGGGAAACGAUGAACGAGCCAUGCCGGGGAAGUGAUGAAGGGAUUAGAGUAGGAAAGCUCGAUGAGCUGGGAAAAUAAUGACGGUACCAGCAGAAGAAGCCCGGGAUAACUCCGUG